rnacentral:rRNA from 1 species
AUUGAACGCUGGCGGCAGGCCUAACACAUGCAAGUCGAACGAGUGGCGGACGGGUGAGUAAUGUCUGGGAAACUGCCUGAUGGCGGGGGAUAACUACUGGAAACGGUAGCUAAUACCGCAUACCAUCAGAUGUGCCCAGAUGGGAUUAGCUAGUGGGUGGGGUAACGGCUCACAAAGGCGACGAUCCCUAGCUGGUCUGAGAGGAUGACCAGCCACACUUGAACUGAUACACGGUCCAGACUCCUACGGGAGGCAGCAGUGGGGAAGAUUGCACAAUGGGCGCAAUCCUGAUGCAGCAAUGCCGCGUGUAUGAAGAAGGCCUGCGGUUGGUAAAGUACUUUCAGCGGGGAGGCGUUACCCGCAGAAGAAGCACCGGCUAACUCCGUGCCAGCAGCCGCGGUAAUUC